GGGAAUGAUGAGUUUUCAGACUAGAGUCUCUGACACAUGCAUUGGAGACAAGAAAACCACUCUGACCC
ensembl:snoRNA small nucleolar RNA, C/D box 52